AACGAACGCUGGCGGCAGGCCUAACACAUGCAAGUCGAGCGAAGCCUUCGGGCUUAGCGGCGGACGGGUGAGUAACGCGUGGGAACCUGCCUCAUAGAGGGGAAUAGCCUCCCGAAAGGGAGAUUAAUACCGCAUAAGAUUGUAGCUUCGCAUGAAGUAGCAAUUAAAGGAGCAAUCCGCUAUGGGAUGGGCCCGCGGCGCAUUAGCUAGUUGGUGAGGUAACGGCUCACCAAGGCGACGAUGCGUAGCCGGCCUGGGAGGGUGAUCGGCCACAUUGGGACUGGGACACGGCCCAGACUCCUACGGGAGGCAGCAGUGGGGAAUAUUGCACAAUGGGGGAAACCCUGAUGCAGCAACGCCGCGUGAGUGAUGACGGCCUUCGGGUUGUAAAGCUCUGUCUUCAGGGACGAUAAUGACGGUACCUGAGGAGGAAGCCACGGCUAACUACGUGCCAGCCGCCGCAGUAACAC
rnacentral:rRNA from 1 species